rnacentral:lncRNA from 1 species
CAUAAUGUUGAGAGUAUCGGGAACGACAAUACUUGAUCUUCAUUCUUGCUAGAUUAUGCACGUUAUUGUCUAGCCAUAGGAUGGGGGGUGAGUGUUGUAAAGUUUGAUUUGGGAGUAUGAGAAAGUUGAAGGAAAAGAGUGAACUCUUGUGCUUAAUUGACUAGUCUUUAUGGGAAAAGUAGAGAAACUUCUAGCUCAAUUUGUGAAAAGUCUUGGCCCCCAAACAUAAAAAAAAAAAAAAAGAAUAAAGAAAAGGGGGCUAGCAAAAUUAGUAUGAGCUAAGAAGUGUUCAAAAAGUGUAAGAAAUCCCUUGUAAAAAAGAAGAAGAAGAGAGUUUUAUGUUGGGAAAUGCUUUUGGAGUCUUUGGGUGAGAGAUGUGAGUUGGGUUUGGAAUGAGGAAAUGAAUGUGUAUCAUAUAUGUUUGGGAAAAAGGGUAGAAUAAUGAAGAUUGAGCAUUGUAUACAUGAGUUGAUCCCUUUCUUAGAUAUAUUAUGUGCAAUGUCAAGGCUACUUGUCUUGAGAGUAUACCACCUUAAAUAUCAUAUAUCUUGAACCCCUUGACUUACUUGAUUAAAAAGCCUCACCUUACCCAAAUGAUUUGGACCAAUUGACCAUUUUCAAGAAUUCACUUGAUGCUAUGCUCAAUGAACUUGAGAGUUGGCUGAUUUGCUUGUGUGAAUGCAUGAUGAUGAGUGUAGGGAUGAAAAGAGUUGAGAUAGGCCUAGAGAAGCUAGAGUGAAAUAAGAGAGUGUGCUCAGGUUGGAUUAGAUGUUGAAUUGAGUGCUAGUUGUGUUUCUUUUGGCUAUGAGCUCCCCACCUUAAAACCUCUCUCCCUAUGAGUUCUACAAAGUUCACUUGUAGACAAGUAAAAGAACAAGUUUGGGGGAGUUGAUAUCUUGCAUAUUUCCAUUGUCUUAUUCAUUCACCCAAGUACCACAUGGAGUUCUUGGAGGCAUUUGGGUGCAUUUGGAGCUCAAAAAAAGUGUUUAAAGCGAUCAACGGACGAGCAGCGCACCAG